AUUGAACGCUGGCGGCAGGCCUAACACAUGCAAGUCGCACGAGUGGCGGACGGGUGAGUAGUGUCCGGGAAACUGCCCGAUGGAGGGGGAUAACUACUGGAAACGGUCGCUAAUACCGCAUCCCAUCGGAUGUGCCCAGAUGGGAUUAGCUUGUCGGUGGGGUAACGGCUCACCAAGGCGACGCUCCCUAGCUGGUCUGAGAGGAUGACCAGCCACCAGGGAAAUGAGCCACGGUCCAGACUCCUACGGGAGGCAGCAGUGGGUAAGAUUGCACAAUGGGCGCAAGCCUGAUGCAGCCAUGCGGCGUGUAUGAAGGAGGCCUUCGGGUUGUAAAGUACUUUCAGCGAGGAGGCGUUACCCGCAGAAGAAGCACCGGCUAACUCCGUGCCAGCAGCCGCGGUAAUAC
rnacentral:rRNA from 1 species